GCAAACUUGGUCAUUUAGAGGAAGUAAAAGUCGUAACAAGGUUUCCGUAGGUGAACCUGCGGAAGGAUCAUUAAUGAGUUGCAAAUGGGUUUGAUGCUGGCAUCUAAAUCUUUUUCUUUUUUUGGGUGUAUGUGCUCACCCUAACACUUGUUCCCAUACACCUGUGCACACACAUCUUUUUGAAGGGGGGGGGGGGCCACUGAAUUCUUCAGUGCUCUCCCUUACACACAAACAUUGAUAAUAUUAAUAAUGAACAUGAUUUUGAUUUUGACAUCUAUACAACUUUUAACAAUGGAUCUCUUGGCUCUUGCAUCGAUGAAGAACGCAGC
rnacentral:misc_RNA from 1 species